UGGGCCUAAAGCAUCCGUAGCCGGUUGUUUAAGUCUUCGGUUAAAUCCAUGCGCUUAACGUAUGGGCCGCCGAGGAUACUGGACAGCUAGGGAGUGGGAGAGGUACACGGUACUCAGUAGGAAGGGGUAAAAUCCUUUGAUCUAUUGAUGACCACCUGUGGCGAAGGCGGUGUACCAGAACACGUUCGACGGUGAGGGAUGAAAGCUGGGGGAGCAAACCGGAUUAGAUACCCGGGUAGUCCCAGCUGUAAACGAUGCAGACUCGGUGAUGCAUUGGCUUGUGGCCAAUGCAGUGCCGCAGGGAAGCCGUUAAGUCUGCCGCCUGGGAAGUACCUACGCAAGUAUGAAACUUAAAGGAAUUGGCGGGGGAGCACAAGC
rnacentral:rRNA from 2 species